rnacentral:rRNA from 1 species
AGAGUGAACGCUGGCGGCAGGCCUAACACAUGCAAGUCGAACGGCAGCACAGGAGAGCUUGCUCUCUGGGUGGCGAGUGGCGGACGGGUGAGGAAUACGUCGGAAUCUGCCUAUUUGUGGGGGAUAACGUAGGGAAACUUACGCUAAUACCGCAUACGACCUACGGGUGAAAGCGGAGGACCUUCGGGCUUCGCGCAGAUAGAUGAGCCGACGUCGGAUUAGCUAGUUGGCGGGGUAAAGGCCCACCAAGGCGACGAUCCGUAGCUGGUCUGAGAGGAUGAUCAGCCACACUGGAACUGAGACACGGUCCAGACUCCUACGGGAGGCAGCAGUGGGAAUAUUGGACAAUGGGCGCAAGCCUGAUCCAGCCAUGCCGCGUGCGUGAAGAAGGCCUUCGGUUGUAAGCACGUUUUUGUACCGAAAAGAAAGCAACGUACGGUUAACUACCCGGUGUC